GAAGACCCUGAGAAAACGUAUUCUAACUUCUGAAGAAGAAAUUAGUGAUUGCAAGUGGAAAUACAGGAGGGAAGUCCCUAAGUUCCCAUUAUGGUCAUUGCAGACUUAAUCAAUUCACAGAGUGGAAUCAAGAGCUGAGCAAACACCGAGCCAACCAAGUGAUAAACUGUGUUUUUUGACUACUCUAAAAAAGUCUCCAGAUAAACAUUCAACCAGGCCUCCACUGGGUGCAAUGGAAGAAUAUGUAUGCAGUCAAACAUAAUCAACGAAAUGCAGAUGUAGAAAUUGAUGAUCUGGCCCUCAUUAGGUACUGGAAGGCCAUAAUUAGGUCACCCCGAGGCCUUUUCUUUUCCAGGAUGAACAAACCCAAGACUCUCAAGCUUUCCUCAUAGGAGAGGUUCUUCCAUUCAUCUAAUCACCCUGGUGGUCCUCCUCUGGACUGGCUCCAACAGGUCAAUGCUCUUCCUGUGCUAUGUUGACAAGAUAGUCAUUAAAGAAGACGGCAAGAGACAUAAACAUGAAGGUCGUAGAACCAUAGAAUCAUGGAGCAGUUUGAGUUUGAAGACAUCUUUACAGGUCAUCUAGUUCAAACUUCCAUUGCAACGAGCAUCUUGAACUACAAGAGGUUGCUGAGAGUCCAGUCCAGUCUGACCAGUAAUGUUUCCAGGAAUAGGGUACUCACCACCUCUCUGGGCAGCCUGCUCCAGGGUCACAUCACCUCCUUUGUAAAAUACUCCUUCCUUAUACUAAAUCUGAGUUGACCUUCUGUGUGCUUUACCUCUUGUCCUAUUGUGACAGACCCUGUGACAAUGUUUGUCCACACCCGUCUCACAAAGCUUUUUCAGUUACUCAAAGACUACAAUACCAUUACCCCAGAGGCUUCUCUUCUGCAGGCUGAACAACCCCAACUCUCGCAGACUUUUCUCAUAGAAGAGAUAUUUCAUCGCUCCAAUCGUCUUCAUGGCCGUCCUCUGGAGUCACUCUACAGGUACGUGCCAUUCCUGUGCUGAGGACAUCAGAGCUGGAUUCAGUACUCCAGGUGGGGUCUCACAAGAAUGAAGGGGAGGAAUCACCUUCAUAGACUUGCUGACCACUUCUUCUCCUGGUGCAGCCCAGGAUGUGGUUGACUUUCUGGACUGGAAAUGCAUACUGCUGGCUCAGGUCCACCCUUUCAUGCACCAGGUCCCACAAGUCCUUCUCAGCAGAACUGUUCUCAAUUCUCCAGCCUGUAAAAUUAUUAAAUUUGAUCUGCAUAAGAUCUAUUAGAUGUCCUCUGGGUAUGAGUUAUUGCCUAACUGAAAAGCUAGCAUAGAAAAUUGUUAUGAUAUUUUCUCAGUGUUUUUGUGUCAUUAUACCUUAAUGUUGUACCAUGCUGAAAAGUAAAAAUUGAAUCAGAGUAAAAAACUGGAAAUGAACACAUGUGAUAUUGUGUAUUAAAAAGUAAAUGCAGGGAAACAGUUUUUGAGCCCAGGGAAAUACAUUUUUGAGCUUUAUUUGGCAAAAUGGUUCAGCAUAUCUUAAGAGUAUGAGAGGAGUUCUGAAAUGGCACCUGUCUGCUUAUCCAUUUGUAAUAUUGACAGAACAUAGAUUUGUAGUAUGCAGAGUUGACAAUUUCCAACCGGAUGUUGAAGCACUGAUCUACAUGACAGGAAUUGUGAUCAUUAGUUGCCAUGCUUGAAAAGGAUGUGGACAGAUUCAAUGUGGUUAGGUGCAAUCAGUCCUGAAAUUAAUGCAUAAAUGGAAGAGACACUUUUUCAUUAUUGCCUACUUUGGGGGAAACAGUGGGUGCACUACUGUCAGAGUUCAGACUGAUAGAUAUUGAUACAAAUCAUUUUUAUAU